GCCUCUAUUCCAAUUUUAUGUUUAGUUGAAAAUUUGCGAAGUCCAUCGAGAAUAAAAUGAUGUUAUUCCCUAAUUUAGAAUAAAGCAAAUUUUUUUCUCAUGAUGGAUCUAGAAUAAGCUAUUGCAUAAUCCAACAUGGAAUAGCUUAAACCAGAUAAAAGAGAAUAAAGUACGAUUAAUGCACUUUUGAUUGAAAUUGCUAAACUCAUGAGCCCCACC
rnacentral:lncRNA from 1 species